rnacentral:rRNA from 1 species
UACGAAGGGGGCUAGCGUUGCUCGGAAUCACUGGGCGUAAAGCGCACGUAGGCGGACUCUUAAGUCAGGGGUGAAAUCCUGGAGCUCAACUCCAGAACUGCCCUUGAUACUGGGAGCCUUGAGUUCGGGAGAGGUGAGUGGAACUGCGAGUGUAGAGGUGAAAUUCGUAGAUAUUCGCAAGAACACCAGUGGCGAAGGCGGCUCACUGGCCCGAUACUGACGCUGAGGUGCGAAAGCGUGGGGGAGCAACAGG